rnacentral:misc_RNA from 1 species
GUGAAAGCACAGAGGAUUAGGGAGUUUCAAUGGGUGGUUUUGCCACUCUGUUAUUCUCUGCUGCCGAUGAUCACUCAAAAUGAUUGCAAAAAACCACCCUUUUGGUGAACUUCCACUAGACCUUCCUUUGUUCCCAAUUGCUGUUACCCCUCAGUCCCAAUCUGUCAGGCUAUGAAGAUUUGAAAGAAUUUGUCUUCUUUGGAAGAUGAAUCAGACAUAUAUUUCCAUUGAGCUGGAAAAAAAUUGUAUCUUGGCGUGGCAGUUCAGAUGGGUCUGGUGAGAAUGGAGGAGAAAGUAUUCUUUUCUGUCUCAUAAA